AUACUACACACACAUACACACU
rnacentral:miRNA from 1 species